AGUGAACGCUGGCGGUAGGCCUAACACAUGCAAGUCGAACGGCAGCACAGUAAGAGCUUGCUCUUACGGGUGGCGAGUGGCGGACGGGUGAGGAAUACAUCGGAAUCUACUUUUUCGUGGGGGAUAACGUAGGGAAACUUACGCUAAUACCGCAUACGACCUACGGGUGAAAGCAGGGGAUCUUCGGACCUUGCGCGAUUGAAUGAGCCGAUGUCGGAUUAGCCAGUUGGCGGGGUAAAGGCCCACCAAGGCGACGCUCCGUAGCUGGUCUGAGAGGAUGAUCAGCGACACUGGAACUGAGACACGGUCCAGACUCCUACGGGAGGCAGCAGUGGGGAAUAUUGGACAAUGGGCGCAAGCCUGAUCCAGCCAUACCGCGUGGGUGAAGAAGGCCUUCGGGUUGUAAAGCCCUUUUGUUGGGAAAGAAAAGCAGCAGGUUAAUACCCCGCUGUUCUGACGGUACCCAAAGAAUAAGCACCGGCUAACUUCGUG
rnacentral:rRNA from 1 species